rnacentral:rRNA from 1 species
CAGAGUUUGAUCCUGGUCAGGAUGAACGCUAGCUACAGGCUUAACACAUGCAAGUCGAGGGGCAUCAGUUUGGUUUGCUUGCAAACCAAAGCUGGCGACCGGCGCACGGGUGAGUAACACGCAUCCAACCUGUCUCAUACUCGGGGAUAGCCUUUCGAAAGAAAGAUUAAUAUCCGAUAGCAUAUAUCUCCCGCAUGGGUUUUAUAUUAAAGAAAUUCGGUAUGAGAUGGGGAUGCGUUCCA